UCUCCCUUCUACGGCGACAUUUUUGACGCCUGAGCUUCUUCCGAAAAAAAAAGAAUAUAUGUAAACGGUUUCCUUCCAUGAUUCUUCGUACCUGGCUAAAAUCAUUAAAGUUCUCCUUAACUUCAUCUCCUCCACUCCUUCCAUGAUUCUUUAUUUAAUGCUCACUGCUUCCAGUCGGUGAAUCCACAUAUAUAAAUAGAGCACAAUGGGAAAAUCCUCUUGAGCUCUCGCCUCUAAAACUUCCAAUUUUCGUAAAGGAGUGUGGCACAGGAGGAGGAAAGCGGCGGCGAUGGAGGAUAGGAGGAGGAGGAAGGCGGUAAGAAUAAUGAGAAAGCCAUUGAUGAUAGUGAAGAGGAUAAUGAGGAGAGAUUAUUAAUGGAGAGUUCGGCGGAGGUAGGUCUUCCUAACCAUCGCUCUACGUUCUUCUCUGCUGGUUUCAGUUGGUUUGUUUGCAAUUGGGUAUGUGCCUCUCUUUGGGUUUGAAGCGAUGCGUCUGUGUGUCACGAUAGGUCUUUUAGUGAUGCUGGAAGCUUUGAUUUAAAGGCUAUUUCAUCGGCUAGCUUGAAUUAGCAUUGUUAUUUGCCGGUGGUUUCAGAGUUUACCGGCGUGAUUCUAAGUCGGUGGUGAAUUGAUUUAUUGGAAGUGUCUCUCUUUCUCUCAAGAUGGUUUAAUUUUCCUCCUUCUAUAUAUUUCAUGGAAGGAUUUUGUUUGUAGUGCCUCUCUAAUCUCAUUUGAUGUAUUUUCGUAGAGUUUCUUCCCUGCGUUGACUAAGUUAACAGUGGCUCUCGGUCCUAACGGUGGCUCUAUUAGUGACGCUGAUUAUCACCAUGAGACACUUGAUAAUCUGCAAAUUGCUAUGAUGAGGGGCAGUUAAUCUCUCUGUGGACUCAAACCAAAUUGUAAACAACAUUGGUCCAGAUAACACCAAUAGGUGAGAUGCUUCUGCAACAAUCGAAGGCUGUUCAGAAGUGUCCGAACCAAUUCCUCCGCAAAUUGAUCAACUGGUCAACACGAAGAAACUAUAAAGGAUCCUGAUCACUCCAACGAUGGAGACAAUGAAGCUGGCCAAAAAAUUUCCCAAUUCCAUUUCCAGUUCCUAACUUUUCACCCUUCACCGAAAAAGUAGUUGUCUUGCAACUUUUUAAUUAUUCAGUUCUGGUUUUCGUUUGUUCGAGUAUAAUUGGUACACAUGGUAACUUUAGUAAUUAUGUUGUUAUGAAAGUUUUUUGUUAACCAGAUGUUUGGUUUCGUAAUGUUUUGGUAUUAUU